AACUAACGCUGGCGGCGUGCCUAACACAUGCAAGUCGUACGAGAAAGCCGGCUUCGGCUGGUGAGUAAAGUGGCGCACGGGUGAGUAACGCGUGGAUAAUCUGCCCUUAAGUGUGGAAUAACGUACCGAAAGGUGCGCUAAUACCGCAUAAUGCCUGGCAACACAAGUUGUCCGGCCAAAGAAGGCCUCUGUUUACAAGCUUUCGCUUCAGGAUGAGUCCGCGUACCAUUAGCUUGUUGGUGGGGUAAUGGCCUACCAAGGCUGCGAUGGUUAGCUGGUCUGAGAGGAUGAUCAGCCACACUGGAACUGAGACACGGUCCAGACUCCUACGGGAGCAGCAGUGAGGAAUAUUGCGCAAUGGGGCAACCCUGACGCAGCAACGCCGCGUGAGUGAGGAAGGUUUUCGGACUGUAAAGCUCUGUCGAGCGGGAAGAAGUGUACCAUGGCUAAUAUCCAUGAUAUUUGACGGUACCGCUAGAGG
rnacentral:rRNA from 1 species